UACGUAGGGGGCAAGCGUUAUCCGGAUUUACUGGGUGUAAAGGGAGCGUAGACGGUUUAGCAAGUCUGAAGUGAAAUCCCGGGGCUUAACCCCGGAGCUGCUUUGGAAACUGUUAGACUUGAGUGUCGGAGAGGUAAGUAGAAUUCCUAGUGUAGCGGUGAAAUGCGUAGAUAUUAGGAGGAAUACCAGUGGCGAAGGCGACUUACUGGACGAUAACUGACGUUGAGGCUCGAAAGCGUGGGGAGCAAACAGG
rnacentral:rRNA from 1 species